UGGGGAAUAUUGGGCAAUGGGGGAAACCCUGACCCAGCGACGCCGCGUGAGGGAAGACGGUCUUCGGAUUGUAAACCUCUGUCGUAAGGGACGAAGAAAUGACGGUACCUUACAAGAAAGCCACGGCUAACUACGUGCCAGCAGCCGCGGUAAUACGUAGGUGGCAAGCGUUAUCCGGAAUUACUGGGUGUAAAGGGUGUGUAGGCGGGAUGGUAAGUCAGAUGUGAAAAUUAUGGGCUCAACCCAUAACUUGCAUUUGAAACUGCCGUUCUUGAGGGUCGGAGAGGUAAGUGGAAUUCCCGGUGUAGCGGUGAAAUGCGUAGAUAUCGGGAGGAACAUCUGUGGCGAAGGCGACUUACUGGACGAUUACUGACGCUGAGACACGAAAGCGUGGGGAGCAAACAGG
rnacentral:rRNA from 2 species